rnacentral:rRNA from 1 species
GAUGAACGCUGGCGGCAGGCCUAACACAUGCAAGUCGAACGUGAAGCCACCUUCGGGUGGUGGAAAGUAGCAGACGGGUGAGUAACGCGCGGGAACGUGCCUUUCGGUUCGGGAUAACCCAGGGAAACUUGGGCUAAUACCGGAUACGCCCUCCGGGGGAAAGAUUCAUUGCCGAAAGAUCGGCCCGCGUCGGAUUAGCUAGUUGGUGGGGUAAAAGCCUACCAAGGCGACGAUCCGUAGCUGGUCUGAGAGGAUGACCAGCCACACUGGGACUGGGACACGGGCCGGACUGCUACGGGAGGCAGCAGUGGGGAAUAUUGGACAAUGGGCGCAAGCCUGAUCCAGCCAUGCCGCGUGGGUGAAGAAGGCCCUAGGGUUGUAAGCCCCUUUCAGCGGGGAAGAUAAUGACGGUACCCGCAGAAGAAGCCCCGGCUAACUCCGUGCCAGCCGCCGCCGUAA